AAGGCACUUUGAGAACUCGAACUGGAAGAGUUGUGAAGCCUGUCAGAAGACUUUUAGAGUCAAUGAGUCAAGUGAUUGCUGAGCCGGACAAAAGAGAGCAUCUAGCUGCCCUGAUUCAAGCCUUAUCAACUUUUGUUGAAGUGACAGUACCCCAGUGAAACAGAAGCCAGAGGAUAGAUUAAGCAAAUGAGAAAUACUUUAUUAGGGGGUCAUAGGUUGUAUGUAUAUGGGCAUAUUUCUACCUGGCAAAGUCUCUUUGCUGUCCUUCUGGACGACUCUUGGUCAAGGUUACCCCUGUGGAGGAAGAACUCUUACCUUAUGUCUUAAAGUUUGCUGAAAUUAAGAAGGGGUGCGUGUAGUAGAGUUAAAAUGGUUAUUCCAGCAAACUUCAGAUUAUUGGAAUAGUACACAACGCAGAGCAGAACAAUCAGGUUGAGGGUCAGUGGCCAAAGCCCGCGAACAGGAAUGUUCCAAGUUCAGACAGAAGGGGGGAGUCAGAUCGCUAUGAUCGCCAGGAACUUUGCUUUUGGUUUCUCAUUUUAAUUGUUGCGCUACUGGUGAUGACAGUUGAUGUUAGGUGGGCAGCUACAGUAGCUGAAUGAUGUUAACAUCUUCGGGUUUUAUUUCAUGAAAUGUAUUUUAAUUUAUCUGGGUGCUUACGUCACCUACUAACACCCUGGUACUACCCAUAGCUCCCGCUCUCCUCAGUCUGAGAAAACACUGAGAGAGAAAGGUAUGGGUUGCAGAUUACUCCUUUGUAGAAGUCCGUAACGUGAAAUAAAUAAAACGUCCCAAGGUUAAUGCUGUAGAUAUUGUUAUGAGGGAGUGUGAGACUAUUGAAACACGUAACUUUCAGAGUUUUAUUGUUGUUAUUAAUAUAGUUUACAGAGUGCUAAAAGUGUGGCUAGCUAGCAUGCCUUUCUGUGAUGCAGACGGCUAGCUGAGCUACCGACUAGUGAUGGUGUUGCAUUAUGGGAGAUGUAGUUUUGGCCCUCUAAGGUCUGAAUGGGAUAAAGGCGAUUUCACGUUGUAACUUGUUUGUGUUGCAGUGUUUUUGUACAUGAGUUGUUGUAUUUUGGUACUGUCAACACUGAAAGCACCUAGCAAUGUAUUGGGGAUGUGAGACAGGAUAUGUGUUUUACCUUUCUUCAUGCUCCUGUGUAGAACAGCUUGUCAGGUGGUGCAUUGGAGACUGAUGUGUUCCUGUCCUGUCUUUUCACAAUACUAUUGCAGAUCAACAUAAAAGCCUAAAAGACAGCCGUGGUGUCGCUCUUCAUUUCUUGGUUCUCCUGUGGUACAUAGUAAACCCGCUACAUAUAAACACCAUGGGACCACGCAGCC
rnacentral:lncRNA from 1 species